UACGAAGGGGGCUAGCGUUGUUCGGAAUUACUGGGCGUAAAGCGCGCGCAGGCGGCUAUCCAAGUCAGUGGUGAAAGCCCGGAGCUCAACUCCGGAACUGCCAUUGAAACUGUUUAGCUUGAGGAUGAGAGAGGUGAGUGGAAUUCCCAGUGUAGAGGUGAAAUUCGUAGAUAUUGGGAGGAACACCGGUGGCGAAGGCGGCCAUCUGGACGGCUAUUGACGCUGAGACGCGAAAGCGUGGGGAGCAAACAGG
rnacentral:rRNA from 1 species